GAUGAACGCUGGCGGCGUGCUUAACACAUGCAAGUCGAACGGUGAAGCAGGAACUUGCUCCUGUGGAUCAGUGGCGAACGGGUGAGUAACACGUGAGCAAUCUGCCCUGGACUCUGGGAUAAGCGUUGGAAACGACGUCUAAUACCGGAUACGAGGCGUGGGGGCAUCCCCAACGCCUGGAAAGAACUUCGGUCCAGGAUGAGCUCGCGGCCUAUCAGGUAGUUGGUGAGGUAACGGCUCACCAAGCCUACGACGGGUAGCCGGCCUGAGAGGGUGACCGGCCACACUGGGACUGAGACACGGCCCAGACGCCUACGGGAGGCAGCAGUGGGGAAUAUUGCACAAUGGGCGCAAGCCUGAUGCAGCAACGCCGCGUGAGGGACGACGGCCUUCGGGUCGUAAACCUCUUUUAGCAGGGAAGAAGCGAAAGUGACGGUACCUGCAGAAAAAGCACCGGCUAACUACGUGCCAGCCGCCGCGGUAACAC
rnacentral:rRNA from 1 species